UCUCUCUCUCUCUCUCUCUCUCUCUCUCUCUCUCUCUCUCUUUCUUUUUCUCUCGAUCUUACACACGGAACGAAGGAAAAUUCGAUUUUGUUGAAUUUAUAAUCCCAUCGACAGUUUCACACCGCGGUCUAGUUCGCGAUACGUAUACUCGAACUGACGUAAAUGCAGUUCUCUCAAAUCGGUUGCAUAAACACAAAUAAGAGAGGGCACCUUUUGCAAAGAGAACUUCUCGGAGCUCUCUUAAUAAGCUGGAUGCCGACCAAAGUGAACAUACUACGUCUAUGAAAUAUAUGUUUGUCUUUAACGUACACACGAGAAAUAAUUCCGCGGAUGCACGUAACGGGCGACGACUAGUCAACGACUAAAGACCAUAUCGUCGAAUCGGCUAGACUCUAUCUAGGCUAGAGGAAAAGUUAGAGGCGACAACAGGAUUCUAGAGAGAGAGAGAGAGAGAGAGAGAGAGAGAGAGAGAGA